ACUUCGGUUGAUCCUGCCGAAGGCUACUGCUAUUGGAGUUCGAUUAAGCCAUGCGAGUCAAGGGGACUUCGGUCACCGGCGGAAUGCUCAGUAACACGUGGACAAUCUGCCCUCGGGUGGGGAAUAAACUCGCGAAAGUGAGGCUAAUACCCCAUAGGCACAGGAGGCUGGAAUGCAUCUGUGCCCAAAGCUCCGGCGCCCGAGGAUGAGUCUGCGGCCUAUCAGGUAGUAGUCAGGGUCAAGACCUGACUAGCCAGCGACGGGUACGGGCCUUGAGAGAGGUCGCCCGGAGAUGGACUCUGAGACACGAGUCC
rnacentral:rRNA from 1 species